rnacentral:rRNA from 1 species
CCGGCACCUGAGUAGGGCGGGGCACGUGGAAUCCUGUCCGAACCCGCGGGGACCAUCCCGCAAGGCUAAAGACUGCCGAAGACCGAUAGCGGACCAGUACCGUGAGGGAAAGGUGGGAAGCACCCCGGGAAGGGGAGUGAAAUAGAACCUGAAACCGUGCGCUUGCAAGCGGUCGGAGCACCGGUGACGGUGUGACGGCGUGCCUUUUGCAUAAUGAGCCUACGAGUUGCGUCAGUCCGGCGAGGCUAAGCCCUUCAGGGGCGGAGCCGGAGCGAGAGCGAGUCUGAACAGGGCGUUCAGUCGGGCUGAGCAGACGCGAAACCUAGUGAUCUACCCUUGUCCAGGGUGAAGGCGCCGUAACAGGCGCUGGAGGCCCGAACCAGUUUCCGUUGAAAAGGGCUUGGAUGAGAUGAGGGUAGGAGUGAAAGGCCAAUCAAACUGGGAGAUAGCUCGUACUCCCCGAAAUGUCUUUAGGGACAGCCUCGUCGGUUUCCUUCAUGAGGUAGAGCUACCGAUUGGAAGCGAGGGCUUCGCCGCCUAUCAAUUCCAGACGAACUCCGAAUGCGUGAAGGUUCUACGACGGGAGUGAGUCGUCGGGUGCUAAUAUCCGGCGGCGAGAGGGUAAGAGCCCAGACCUCCGGCCAAGGCCCCCAAGAGCGGUCUAAGUUGAGACAGAACGAAGUGGCGCCGCAGAGACAGCCAGGAUGUUAGCUUGGAAGCAGCUAUUCAUUCAAAGAGUGCGUAACAGCUCACUGGUCGAGCGGAGCCGCGUGGAUGAUGAUCGGGCAUCAAGACCGCCGCCGAAGCCGAGGACGGCUGGCGCGAGUCAGUCGUGGUAGGGGAGCAUUCCGGUCGGCGCGGAAGGGAAGUCGCGAGGCUUCCUGGAGCGUCCGGAAAAGAAAAUGUAGGCAUGAGUAACGACAAGGGGCGUAGAAACGCCCCCGCCGAAAACCCAAGGUUUCCGGGGCCACGCUAAACGGCCCCGGGUGAGCCGGGAGCUAACGGUAAGCCGAGAGGCGAUCCGGAUGCACACGCGGUUAAUAUUCCGCGGCCGGCCCGUCGGGCGAUGUCGCGACCGAGAAGUGAAACCUCCGCGCGGAGACGGAAUUCCGCGUUGAAGGCCGUAGGGGUGACCCGAAAGCCGACAGUACGGCGAGCCUCCGGGCGAGCCGACAGCGAGGGUAAUCAUGCUCGCGAGAAAAGCGACUAGCGCUAAGAGACGGGCCGCCCGUACCGUAAACCGACACAGGUGGGUGGGGAGAGUAUCCUGAGGCGCUCGAGUGAAUCACGGCCAAGGAACUAGGCAAAUUGACCCCGUAACUUAGGGAUAAGGGGUCCCGCGGCGACGCGGGCGCAGAGAAAUGGCCCAGGCGACUGUUUACCAAAAACAUAUGGCUAUGCGAAAUCGUUAAGAUGACGAAUAUGGCCUGACACCUGCCCGGUGCCGGAAGGGUAAGAGGGGGGGGCACCGAAAGGGAAGCCCUGAAUUGAAGCCCCGGUAAACGGCGGCCGUAACUAUAACGGUCCUAAGGUAGCGAAAUUCCUUGUCGGGUAAGUUCCGACCUGCACGAAUGGUGUAACGAUCUGGGCGCUGUCUCAGCCGUGAGCUCGGUGAAAUUGUAGUGACGGUGAAGAUGCCGUCUACCCGCAACGGGACGAAAAGACCCCGUGAACCUUUACUAUAGCUUAGCGCUGAUCUUGGACGUCGGAUGUGUAGCAUAGGUGGGAGGCUUCGAGGCGCGGCCGCCAGGUCGCGAUUAGCCGCCAAAUGAAAUACCACCCUUCCGUCGUCUGGGGUCUAACUUCGCGAGAAGGACACCGCUUGGUGGGUAGUUUGACUGGGGUGGUCGCCUCCAAAAGAGUAACGGAGGCUUCCCAAGGUCCGCUCAGGACGAAUGGCAACCGUCCGCAGAGUGCAGUGGCAUAAGCGGGCUUGACUGGGAGACAAACAGGUCGAGCAGGUACGAAAGUAGGGCAAAGUGAUCCGGCGGUUCCCCAUGGGAGGGCCGUCGCUCAUAGGACAAAAGGUACUCCGGGGAUAACAGGCUGAUCGCUCCCAAG